rnacentral:lncRNA from 1 species
AUGACAGUGACACAAACGCUUAAUCCCAAACACCUGCCUCUGCCACUAGUUUACCUUUGCUUGGCUGAAAAGGAGUGGGUGUGGCCACAGAUUAGAAUUUAUUGUUACACGGUUGUUUGCAAUGAACAUUCACUUUUCAGUGACUAUCUUUUCUUUAAACUUCCUGCACAUGGGGUUUAUUCCAUCAAGGUGAAGAUGGCAGGGUGCCCUGAGCAGUCUGAAGGCUUCCUUAGGGCUUGGGCCCCUCCAGCCAUGGUCAAGGAGAUGGACUGCCUCUUGGUUUCCCAAAUCAAGGAAAGAGGAUUGCUUAAACUGGCAAGUUACUUUCAAGUAUACCUUAAACAAAUGUGGUGAGCCAUUUGGUCACGUAUGUGGAUGCACCCAGUGGGAUACACGGAAACAACAGACUGGGUGUACUUGGAGCAGCUGGGCGGAUCUUAAGGAUGCAGAGCUGAGCACAAAGUAAUAAGCAAAAAGAGAUAUAGGACGUGAUAGAUAUGGUCACAAUGUUGGGGGGGGGCAAAGAGGAUGGAGAAGAGCAAUAGUUAAGAUUAGAUAAGUCAUGUGGCUUGAUUUUACAAUGGGAACCCCAAGGCAACCAAGAAUUGUCAGCCUCUUAGUAAAGGCAGUUAAACUUUAAAAAAUUUUAUCUAUCUAUCUAUCUAUCUAUCUAUCUAUCUAUCUAUCUAUCUAUCUAUCUAUGUAUCUACCUACCUACCUACCUACCUAUCCAUCCAUCUAUCCUUUCUUUCACACCAGAGAAAUUUAGGGUUAGGGUUAGGGUUCAGAACAUUUUCAGUCUUUUACUUAAUUUUCACAACCACGUUGCGAGAAUACGAGGAAGGUGCCUAUAUUUUGCCCAUUUUCACAGGUGAAAAAACUAAGGCUUAGGUUAAGUAACUUACCCAAGGUCGCACAGUGAUGAAGGGAUUUAAGUCCAAGUAUUUCAAUCCACAGGUGCUUUUUUUCUUUAUCCCCUAUUUGGCACACUUUUUCUAUGGAGAGCCAGAGAGUCAAUAUUUUAGGCUUUGUGGACUGCACAGUCUCAUCUUUUUUUAAAAAAUUGAAAUUAGUUGCCAUACAUAUGAUGGUAGUUUCAGAUGUACUACAUAGUGAUGUGACAUUUGCAUACAUUAUGAAAUAAUCACCAUGAUAAGUCUAGAAACCAUCUGCCCUCAUGCAAAGUUACUACAGUAUUGUUGACCAUACUCCUUACGCUACAUGUUACAUCCUUGUGGCUUGUUUUUUGGAUAAGUGGAGGUUUGUACCACAGGCUCUGUCUUGACUACUCAGCUCUGCUCUUGUACUGUGAAAGUGGCCAGAGACAAUAGGUGCCCGAAUGGGGAUGACUGUGUACCAGUAUAACUAACUGUAUUCCCUUUCUCCAGCCUUGUGUGGCUUCCUUAUAGGCAUGCUCUCAUCAGUGUUUGGCCAAAGUCUCAAGAGUGAGCCUCUGGUGCUCUUUUUGUGCAGCUCUCUCCUCUCUGGUCCUCUGCCCUGCACACUCUUAACCACCUGCUCUCAGAAUCCCAUCCCUAUCUGCUCCACCCGGUGACUGCUAGGCUCAGCAAGGCUGCUCCUCCAGAGGCGACGCCUCAGAAGGUCUCCCCAGGCAGUGAGCUGGGUCCAUCACAUGACUCCCUUCUCUCAGGUGGAACUAUGCUCAGUGGUUAAUGUCUGAAAACCUUUGUAUAGAUUUCAUUCAGUUUUUUCAUUGUUUCAGGCAGAAAGGACAACUCUGGUUCUUGUUAGUUCAUCCUGUUCAUAAGCGGAUGUCCUGGUAAACUGAUUUUUUCAAUUUCUGGUUCCGUUCCUAGGCUCCAGAUCUGUGUGCUGUAGGCUCUGAGUCCUUGCAUAUCUGCAAAUAGCUCUCUUUUCACUGUAACAGGGAAUGAUAGCUCGGCUAUUUCCUGGGUGGCUUAUUUUUUUCUUUCAGCAUUCUAUGACAUUUCCUAGUAUUCCUUCUGAUUCCUAGUGUUGCAGAAAAGAAGUCAAAUGUCAGUUCAUUUUUCCCCUUGUAUGUGUAACUUGUUCUAAAUGUCAAGAAGCUUUCAAUAUAUUUCUUUUGGUCCUUGGAACUCAGAAUGUUUUAAAACUCACCUAUGCCUCUUUAGAUCAAUCCAGACUAGAACAUAUUAAACUCUAUUUUAAACUACAGACUCAGCCUUUCUCCAAGCCAGGGACUGUUUUCCUCUACGUCUGUAGUCACUACCUUUCCUUCAUGUACACCGUUUCCCUUCUACUGGAAAUCUUUUUUUGUUGUUUUUUGUUUUUUAGGGCCGCACCUGUAGCACAUGGAGGCUCCCAGGCUAGGGGGUGAAUCGGAGCUACAGCUGCCAGCCUCCACCACAGCCACAGCAAUGCAGGAUCCGAGUUGCAUCUGUGACCUACACCACAGCUCACAGCAAUGCUGGAUCCUUAACUCACUGAGCAAAGCCAAGAAUUGAACUCGCAACCUCAUGGUUCCUGGUCGGAUUUGUUACCACUGACGCAUGAAGGGAGCAAAGCUUUUCUUUUUUUUUUUUUUUGGCUGCACCUGUGACAUACAGAAGUUCCUGGGCCAGAGAUCGAAUCUGAGCCACAGCUGUGACCUACACCACAGCAGCUGUAAUGCUGGAUCCUUAACCACUGAGCCACAGUGGGAACUCCUAGUUUAUUUUUUUAAGAAAUAAAUUUUCAGCAAGCACACUUGGUGGAAAAACA